GACAGGUCCACAUCCUGUGGACCUUUAUCCCACAUCCACCUUGAAUCCAUGGGCACCAGUAUUCCACGGGUAAAAUGUGGUAUCUGUCGGUGCAAAAUGGAUUUUGGAUUCUCCACCCACACUGAAGCAGAGAGGAUGUGGAUGAAUCUGUCAUGAGGGAUUUUUGCCACAUUCUCUAGUGCGCACGUGAAAGGGAAGUACUGACAAAGGAUGUUAAUCCUGAACACAUAACGGAAAUGAUUUCCAGUUGAUAGUCCUGAGAGUCCAGAUGGACCAGGUCGGGGUUAAAGAUCUUAGCUUUGUGCAAGAUCUGCACAGAUAACUGUCAUGAAGUGAGAUGUUGUGAGGCAUUUUCCAGUAACUUUAUUGUAUAAUAUGCAGGAAUUUACAAUCGCAAUUAGUAUAACGUGGAAUGCCAACUUUCUCCACCACUUCGCCGUGUCGACGCUACUGAGACCGCCUGGGAAA